GUGAGAUUUCUAAGAUCCAGAAACCCAAUAAUAUUAAAUAUAAACACUACUCCCAAUGAGCAUACCGGUACAACUUCUCGAUGAAUGUGCCAAGAAGGUUUCUCUUAGCAUGAUUGACCAGAUAAUGCAUGAUAGCUUUUGGAACCAAAUCCUGUAUAUUCCUCCUCACAAUAUCAUAAUAAGAUGCUAUGAGCAGUUUCGUCACUAUGAUCUCGACUUGAUACUCUGUUUCAGUCUCUCCAGGCCUCAAGACCAGCGGUGGAUUUUUCAAUUGUAUAACAGGGGGUGCCAGAGUAAUAUCAUGCACCACCUCAGCAGCAUGUCUCUUAGAUGAAUUCCCUACUGAUGAUCCCCGGAUUCCAAAUAGGGAAGUAACACCCCAUGUCCUUGUGGUUGAGGUACCUAAAAUACAUUUUGUUGUAGCUUUACAUGUUACUAUAACAGAAGGAAAAGGUAGAAGUCACAUACUAGUGUUCGAAUAAACAAUUAUUUUAAGGCCAAGAUCUUGGUAAAAUAUCCCAGUCUCUGAAUUUA
rnacentral:misc_RNA from 1 species